GUCAGUAAGUUCCAACAACUUGUGUCGACGGGUCGCCGCGUGUGAUAUUAUAAGGAUACAACGAACAAAAACUGAUUUUUAACAUCAUGCCUCCUAAAAGGGCACCUUGGUGCGAGGAGGAUUUAAUAUCAGCAGUUCGAUCUGUUCAACGCGGUACUCUGAGUACAUAUGGGACUGCGGCAAGGUUUAAUAUUCCCAGAAGAACCAUUAGAAAUCAUGUUCAGAAUGGAAUCCUAAUAAAAAGACUAGGUCGUAAAUCUAUUUUAAAAGAAGAACAAGAAGCUGAUCUCGUUAAAAAAAUAAUAAGAUUUAGUGAAAUAGGUCUACCUGUGACUCCUUAUCGUGAUAUCCUUCGUCGAUUGGUAUUCAGAUUCUGCGAAGAUAAUAAAAUUGCUCAUCAAUUUAAUACAACUUCAAAACUUGCUGGUAAAGACUAGCUAAAGGCUUUUAUGAAGAGAAAUCCUGUAAUUUCUAAAAGAAAAGCACAGUUUAUGAAUCCAGCUAGGGCU